rnacentral:sRNA from 1 species
UCUGGUCACCUAGCACUCGUCGUAAAUGU